rnacentral:lncRNA from 1 species
UGUAUCAUGUCGGCCGUGUAAUCCACCGUCCGUACCGAAUGAAUACAUCGGCCGAUUUGGACGAUUAUACGUUUAAACCGUUUUACAUUGGUUAUGUGCAAUUGUAUUACGGUCAACCUCUUAUGCUCCAACCCAUAUACUGGGGUAGUAUCUUUUUAAGUACCUUCCGUUCAGAGCCCUAGUAAAUUCUUCUCCCUCUAUUGUUUCCAAAAUGUAAGCAUUCCCUGGAGCACAUCUGCCGAUUUUAUACGACCCUUCCCAUGUAGGAGACCACUUUCCGAAUUUAGGAUCUUUCGACCCAAUCGGCAAUACUAACUUCCAUACCAAGUCCCCAGGGGAGAAUUGUUUGACUUUGACCUUCUUAUCGUACCACCUGGCU